UACGUAGGAGGCGAGCGUUGUCCGGAAUUACUGGGCGUAAAGAGCGCGUAGGCGGCACGGUACGACCGAUGUGAAAGCCCCCGGCUCAACUGGGGAGAGUCAUGGGUAACGGCCGAGCUAUGAGUGCAGGAGAGGGAAGUAGAACUCCGGGAGUAGCGGUGAAAUGCGUAGAGACCCGGAGGAAUACCAGUGGCGAAGGCGGCUUCCUGGUCUGCAACUGACGCUGUGGCGCGAAAGCUAGGGGAGCGAACGGG
rnacentral:rRNA from 1 species